rnacentral:rRNA from 1 species
UACGUAGGUGGCAAGCGUUGUCCGGAUUUACUGGGCGUAAAGAGCGCGCAGGCGGUCGUUCAAGUCGCGUGUGAAAGCCCCCGGCUCAACUGGGGAGGGUCACGCGAUACUGAUCGACUCGAAGGCAGGAGAGGGUAGUGGAAUUCCCGGUGUAGUGGUGAAAUGCGUAGAUAUCGAGAGGAACACCAGUGGCGAAGGCGAGUCCCUGGACAGGUCCUGACGCUGAGGCACGAAAGCUAGGGGAGCAAACAGG